GACGAACGCUGGCGGCGUGCUUAACACAUGCAAGUCGAACGGAAAGGCCCUGCUUUUGUGGGGUGCUCGAGUGGCGAACGGGUGAGUAACACGUGAGUAACCUGCCCUUGACUUUGGGAUAACUUCAGGAAACUGGGGCUAAUACCGGAUAGGAGCUCCUGCUGCAUGGUGGGGGUUGGAAAGUUUCGGCGGUUGGGGAUGGACUCGCGGCUUAUCAGCUAGUUGGUAGGGUAGUGGCUUACCAAGGCUUUGACGGGUAGCCGGCCUGAGAGGGUGACCGGCCACACUGGGACUGAGACACGGACCAGAGUCCUACGGGAGGCAGCAGUGGGGAAGAUGGGAGAAGGGGCGAAAGCCUGAUCCAGCAAUGCCGAGGGAGUGAUGAAGGCGUUAGGGUUGUAAAGCUCUUUUAACCGGGAUGAUAAUGACAGUACCGUGAGAAUAAGCUCCGGCUAACUCCGUG
rnacentral:rRNA from 1 species